GCACCUUCAACAUGGCUAGGCUGAUAGAGCACCUUCAACAUGGCUAGGCUGAUAGAGCACCUUCAACAUGGCUAGGCUGAUAGAGCACCUUCAACAUGGCUAGGCUGAUAGAGCACCUUCAACAUGGCUAGGCUGAUAGAGCACCUUCAAACAUGGCUAGGCUGAUAGAGCACCUUCAAACAUGGCUAGGCUGAUAGAGCACCUUCAACAUGGCUAGGCUGAUAGAGCACCUUCAACAUGGCUAGGCUGAUAGAGCACCUUCAAACAUGGCUAGGCUGAUAGAGCACCUUCAACAUGGCUAGGCUGAUAUAACAUAAUUAGAUUACCAAAGUUAAUGAUGCCUUCUUGAACUAUGUGUUUAAACUAUAGCAAUACAGUAGGAUGUUCUUACUAGUAGAAGUCUUGAAUGAAUGAACAAUCCAUGAGUAAUCCACGUGGAGAUUGAAGCUGUGUUUUAUAGUUGUAAGUGGAAAUGUUGAUAUUUGGUUAUGAACUCAGACAGCCACGUAGGUUGCUCCAGAGGGUAGUGGAUAUGAACUCAGACAGCUGAGUAGGUUGCUCAGAGGGUAGUGGAUAUGACAGACAGCCAAGUAGGUUGCUCAGAGGGUAGUGGAUAUGAACUCAGACAGCUGAGUAGGUUGCUCAGAAGGUAGUGGAUAUGACAGACAGCCAAGUAGGUUGCUCAGAGGGUAGUGGAUAUGACAGACAGCCACGUAGGUUGCUCAGGGUAGUCCAGAUUUAUGUUUGUUAUGUGACGGCCUUACAUGAGAAUGACUGACCAGGGCUGCAAAAUUCAGCCAACUUUCUCGAAUUUCCCACAUAUUCCAUAAAUCAGUGUUGGAAGAUUCACGGAAUCAAGCGGGAAUAAGCAAGAAAUCCAACAUUCCAACCAGGAAUUCUGGAAAUCCAAUUAUUAAAAAAACAUUUUUAAGUUACCAGAGUUUUUCAAACCUGUGAAUGUGGUUUAGAAUCUCAGGGUUUUUAACCCCUACAAGAUGAGUGUUUAACAUAUUGUAUAUGAUGGUACAAGUGUAACAGAGGUUAUUUGGCUCGGAUAAACCAGUGGUUCACCACCAAGUAAUGUACUCCAUGCUCUGCCCUCUACCUCCUCAUGAGUCUUUGACCAGUAAGCCUGUGGUCUCAUGAGUCUCCUCAAGUAGCCCCUGUGGAUUGGCCAAUUACCCCAAAGGGUUCUAGUACCACUGGUUGUGAACCACUGGGGUUACUAUGCUUGAAUGGUGAAUAACUUUGCCUGAGAUCUGAAGACUCGCGUUAGCACCCUAGGGUAAUGCCUUGGCUUUAACUCAGCGGGCUAACACAGUCUAUGAAGGCGCUCAAUGGCCUGGGUAUGUGGGUUUGAAUACCUGGUUGAUCAUUCUCACCCCUAUGUUUUGGGUAUUGGUUGGUUCGUUCUGUGAUGACAGGCUUGGGGCUUAAAUAUCAACACAUUCCCUAUAUAGGGCCAUACUUUUCCCCCCCAGUUAAAAGUAAGGGCUUACUACUUAGUCAUAGGACCCAGUCAAAAGUAGGAUACUAUAUAGGGAAUAGGGUGCCAUUUAUGGACGCACUCAAAUACUGUCUCACACAUAUUGAUGAUAUUGUCGCUUAUAUCCUGUUGGGUGAAGCUUUGUGCCUUACUCUGAGACCACAGUGUGGUCUGACCUUAUUAAAGAUGUCUCUGUGUAGCUGGGACCUCAGUGUGGUCUGACCUUAUUAAAGAUGUCUCUGUGUAGCUGGGACCUCAGUGUGGUCUGACCUUAUUAAAGAUGUCUCUGUGUAGCUGGGACCUCAGUGUGGUCUGACCUUAUUAAAGAUGUCUCUGUGUAGCUGGGACCUCAGUGUGGUCUGACCUUAUUAAAGAUGUCUCUUUCUACUGCUCAGGUACCGGUAAUAGACCUCAGCCCAUUCAGUUCUAGCCAAUGAUAUAGCGUCAACGCCAAACAAACUAAUAUUUAGCCCCAACUACCCUCCCCCCUAGGUCCUAGGCAAAUGUAGUAGAUCUGAAAGUGUUGGAUAGACGCGAGUAGCAACGCAACAUGGUAAAUAACACCUCCACCUUGUCCUCUGAUGAGGCUAGGUGUCACCAUGUUUAUACCUAUCCAAUCCUUACAGAUUUACCAAGUGCCCAGAGCUAGGUGCUAAGUGGAAGAGAUGAAUAAUAUCAGUUGGCUGCUCAGUUCAACUCAGUACUUUUGCCAUCCAGGAGUAUAAAAAGUUACCAAUUCUGUUUCAAGAGACAAUUGGAACGUCCAUUUAUUUCCAGGAUUGACUGAAUUGAAAUGGAACCGAGCCCAACCAUGAAAGAUUGACUGAAUUGAAAUGGAACCGAGCCCAACCAUGAAAGAUUGACUGAAUUGAAAUGGAACCGAGCCCAACCAUGAAAGAUUGACUGAAUUGAAAUGGAACUGAGCCCAACCAUGAAAGAUUGACUGAAUUGAAAUGGAAUUGAGCCCAACCAUGAAAGAUUGACUGAAUUGAAAUGGAACUGAGCCCAACCAUGAAAGAUUGACUGAAUUGAAAUGGAACUGAGCCCAACCAUGAAAGAUUAACUGAAUUGAAAUGGAACCGAGCCCAACCAUGAAAGAAUGACUGAAUUGAAAUGGAACCGAGCCCAACCAUGAAAGAAUGACUGAAUUGAAAUGGGACCGAGCCCAACCAUGAAAGAAUGACUGAAUUGAAAUGGAACUGAGCCCAACCAUGAAAGUAACCUUGCUCUGUGAUGAGGGAUGACAUAUGAUUACUUCAAGGAAACGUGUUUUAUAUUACAAAAUACAUGUGAGGGUUGAUUCACUUGCUUUGGGUUCUUACUUUUUCCCUAUAUGGUACUAGUAAUAAUAUAGGAUGUUGAGUGUGUUUAUAAUGGGAGUGGAUACCUAUGUGUGACUGUUACUGCUUGUUGCUCAGGGGGUAGAAUGUAUGAAGCAAUAUCAUUCGAAACAUUUCUAGCUUUAAAACAAAACAAAAAAAACUCAGUGUGCAUGGGGGUGUGUCUUGGUUCUGUGAAUCAGGAAGUCACAGAGAUGGACACCCAAUGAGAUGUCAUGUUGCUUUUGUGUAGCCACUCGCAAGCUUCUGUACCAAAAUUGACACAUUUGAGUUUUUCCCAUGAAAUAUGUGUUUCAUCCUGGGAUGCCUCUUCCUGUAUCUAAUACGUCAUGUUGGGUUAAAUGUGUCUGACCCAACUGUCCUCAAUAAAACUGACUUGGUGAAAGAUGUAUUUUUAUUUUUUAUUUUUUGCUGUUGUGAACAAAAUCCACAGACAAGAACACACGAUUGGUGAUUUGAAAAUAGUUUAUAGCAUUUAAAAUAUAUAUUUAGGUGUUUUCACAAACAAUUCAGCCUAAUAACCCUUGACACUGAAUGGUACUGAAAGCCAUGUAGACUAUUGUAGCCUGGGUACCAGUCUGUCUGUGUCCUGUAGGAUUGUAGCCUGGGUACCAGUCUGUCUGUGUCCUGUAGGAUUGUAGCCUGGGCACCAGUCUGUCUGUGUCCUGUAGGAUUGUAGCCUGGGCACCAGUCUGUCUGUGUCCUGUAGGAUUGUAGCCUGGGCACCAGUCUGUCUGUGUCCUGUAGGAUUGUAGCCUGGGCACCAGUCUGCCUGUCAUGAGUUGACAUGAUGGCACAAACAGAUCUGGGAUGAGGCUAGUAUGAUUGUAGAAUAAACAACAAUUUUAUGUGAAACUAAAAUCAACGUAGAUCAUAGCAGUAGGGCUGUGUGUGUGUGUGUGUGUGUGUGCGUCAGUAAGGAACUCAUUAUGAAGGAAAAACAAAGACUCAGCACACAGCCUGAUAUCUGAUUAAAUCUUCAGACAGUAUUGUCCCUGGGUUUACUCUAUAUCAACUCAAUUCACAUUAAAUACCCAGAUUAAAGAAUUAGUUUAUUUUAACAUAUAGCCACUGCUUGAAAAUAUAAUCAAAUAAAUAAAACUAGAGAGGAAAAACUAUUUUGUGCCUAAGUGCAAUAAGCUAUAACUUCAGAUAUAUAUUAUGACAUCUGCUAUAACUUCAGUUUAAAACAGCUCACACCGUACUUUGUGACAUUUUGCUGACAGAAUCAAAGCUAUUGUCACAGACAGGUGAUGCAUAAAAAGGGGGCGGGGUAUAAGAACUUUAGACAGGUGAUGCAUAAAAAGGGGCGGGGUAUAAGAACUUUAGUCGGGAUGGAAGAAGGGGAGGGCAGAAGGGAGGCAAAAAGGAAGAAGGGAGGAGAAAGGAAGAAGGGAGGAAAAAAGGAAAAAGGAAGAAGGGGGAGGGAAGAAGGGAGGAGAAAAGGAAGGGAGGAGAAAAGGAAGAAGGGAAGGAGGGAAGAAGGGAGGAAGGGAGGAAGAAGGGGGGAAGAAGAAGGGAGGAGAGAAGGAAGAAGGGAAGGAGGGAAGAAGGGAGGAGAGAAGGAAAGGGGAGGGAAGAAGGGAGGAGAAAAGGAGGGAGGGAAGAAGGGAGAAGUGGAAGGAGGAAGGGAAGGGGAGGGAAGAAGGGAGGAGAAAAAGGAGGGAGGGGAGGGAAGGG
ensembl:lncRNA